GGCGGUUAUAUGCUUGUCUCAAAGGCUAAGCCAUGCAUGUCUAAGUUCAAAUGUCCUAAAAGGUGAAACCGCGAACGGCUCAUUACAACAGCUAUUAUUUACUUGAUCUUGACAUCCUACGUGGAUAACUGUGGUAAUUCUAGAGCUAAUACAUGCACCAAAGCUCCGAUUUUUGACGAGCGCAUCUAUUAGACUAAAACCAAUCGGGCUUCGGCUCGUGUUUUGGUGACUCUGAAUAGCUACAGCUGAUCGCAUGGUCUUGUACCGGCGACGUGUCUAUCAAGUGUCUGCCUUAUCAACUUUCGAUGGUAGUUUAUGUGCCUACCAUGGUUGUUACGGGUAACGGAGAAUAAGGGUUCGACUCCGGAGAGGGAGCCUGAGAAACGGCUACCACAUCCAAGGAAGGCAGCAGGCGCGCAAAUUACCCACUCUCGGCAUGAGGAGGUAGUGACGAAAAAUAACGAGAUCGUUCUCUUUGAGGCCGGUUAUCGGAAUGGGUACAAUUUAAACCCGUUAACGAGGAUCUAUGAGAGGGCAAGUCUGGUGCCAGCAGCCGCGGUAAUUCCAGCUCUCAAAGUGUAUAUCGUCAUUGCUGCGGUUAAAAAGCUCGUAGUUGGAUCUGCGCUUGAGGACUCGGUCCACCCGUUGGGUGAGAACUGGGCUUCUCGGCUAGAAUAUGUUGGUUUUCCCUGCGUUGCCUUUACCGGUCGCGUAGGGUGGCUGACGAGUUUACUUUGAAAAAAUUAGAGUGCUUAAAGCGGGCUUUAAGUCUGAAUAUUUGUGCAUGGAAUAAUAGAAUAGGAUUUCGGUUCUAUUUUGUUGGUUUUCUGAACUGAGAUAAUGGUUAAGAGGGACAGACGGGGGCAUUCGUAUCGCUGCGUGAGAGGUGAAAUUCUUGGACCGUAGCGAGACGCCCGACUGCGAAAGCAUUUGCCAAGAAUGUCUUCAUUAAUCAAGAACGAAAGUCAGAGGUUCGAAGGCGAUCAGAUACCGCCCUAGUUCUGACCGUAAACGAUACCAACUAGCGUUCCGUCGCUGGCAAACACGCCUUGACGGGCAGCUUCCCGGAAACGAAAGUUUUUCGGUUCCGGGGGAAGUAUGGUUGCAAAGCUGAAACUUAAAGAAAUUGACGGAAGGGCACCACCAGGAGUGGAGCCUGCGGCUUAAUUUGACUCAACACGGGAAAACUCACCUGGCCCGGACACCGUGAGGAUUGACAGAUUGAGAGCUCUUUCUUGAUUCGGUGGUUGGUGGUGCAUGGCCGUUCUUAGUUGGUGGAGUGAUUUGUCUGGUUUAUUCCGAUAACGAGCGAGACUCUAGCCUACUAAAUAGUUACUGGAUAAUUGUGUCCAGAAGACUUCUUAGAGGGACAAGCGGUGUUCAGCCGCACGAAGUUGAGCAAUAACAGGUCUGUGAUGCCCUUAGAUGUCCAGGGCUGCACGCGCGCUACACUGGAGGAAUCAGCGUGUUGUAACCAUUUCCGAAAGGGAUUGGUAACCCCUUGAAAAUCCUCCGUGAUCGGGAUCGGGAAUUGCAAUUAUUUCCCUUGAACGAGGAAUUCCUAGUAAGUGUGAGUCAUCAGCUCACGUUGAUUACGUCCCUGCCCUUUGUACACACCGCCCGUCGCUGCCCGGGACUGAGCCGUUUCGAGAAAAGCGGGGACUGCUGUUUCGAAACCUUUCGGGGUGGAGAUUCUUUGGUGGAAACCGCCUUUAUCGCAGUGGCUUGAACCCGGGCAAAAGUCGUAACAAGGUUUCC
rnacentral:rRNA from 1 species